rnacentral:rRNA from 1 species
AUAUGGUCGACCUGCAGGCGGCCGCGAAUUCACUAGUGAUUAGAGUUUGAUCAUGGCUCAGAAUCAACGCUGGCGGCGUGCCUAACACAUGCAAGUCGAACGCGAAAGGGGCUUCGGCCCUGAGUAGAGUGGCGAACGGGUGAGUAACACGUGGGUGACCUACCUUCGAAUGGGGGAUAACGUCCCGAAAGGGACGCUAAUACCGCAUAACAUCCUGCCUUUGAACAGGCGGUGAUCAAAGCCGGGGAUCGCAAGACCUGGCGUUUGAAGAGGGGCCCGCGUCCGAUUAGCUAGUUGGUGAGGUAAUGGCUCACCAAGGCGACGAUCGGUAACCGGCCUGAGAGGGCGGACGGUCACACUGGGACUGAGACACGGCCCAGACUCCUACGGGAGGCAGCAGUGGGGAAUUGUUCACAAUGGGCGCAAGCCUGAUGACGCAACGCCGCGUGGAGGAUGAAGGUCUUCGGAUUGUAAACUCCUGUUGCUCGGGACGAGAUGCUUCGACCUAACACGUCGAAGUCUGACGGUACCGAGUGAGGAAGCCGCGGCUAACUCUGUGCCAGCAGCCGCGGUAAUACGAAUCGAAUUCCCGCGGCCGCCAUGGCGGCCGGGAGCAUGCGAC